CAGGCACUAGCUCAAUGGGUAGAGCGCCCGCUUUGGGUGCGGGGGGUUCGGGGUUCGAGUCCCUGGUGCUUGA
rnacentral:tRNA from 1 species